rnacentral:rRNA from 1 species
AACGAACGCUGGCGGCGUGCCUAAUACAUGCAAGUCGAACGCAGUGGGGAUGGGUGAGUAACACGUGGGUAACCUCCCGUCAGAGGGGAUAACACUUGGAAACAGGUGCUAAACCGAUACUGAUGGAUGGACUCGCGGUGCAUUAGCGAGUUGGGGAGGUAACGGCUAACCAAGGCCACGAGGCAUAGCCGACCUGCGAGGGUGAUCGGCCACAGUGGGACUGAGACACGGCCCAGACUCCGACGGGAGGCAGCAGUAGGGAAUCUUCGGCAAUGGACGAAAGUCUGACCGAGCAACGCCGCGUGUGUGAAGAAGGUUUGCGGAUCGUAAAACUCUGUUGGUAGAGAAGCGGUAUCUAACCAGAAAGCCACGGCUAACUACGUGCCAGCAGCCGCGGUAAUAC